rfam:Actinomyces marimammalium strain DSM 15383 Scaffold13, whole genome shotgun sequence.
UUGUUAGUUUUUAUGGGCAUUCGGUGGAUGCCUUGGUACCAGGAGCCGAUGAAGGACGUGUUGGUCUGCGAUAAGCCUCGGGGAGUUGACGAAUGAGCGUUGAUCCGGGGGUGUCCGAAUGGGGAAACCUGGCUGGAGUAGUGUCCAGUCGCUGGCAUCUGAAUUGUAUAGGGUGUUGGUGGGAACGCGGGGAAGUGAAACAUCUUAGUACCCGCAGGAAAAGAUAUUCUGUGAGUAGUGGCGAGCGAAAGCGGAUGAUGGCUAAACUGUGUGCGUGUGAUACUCGGCAGGGGUUGCGUAUGCGGGGUUGUGGGAUACAGCUUUUAAAGGAUCUGCCGGUUCUUUGUGUAGUGAUAAAACAGUGGGGCGAGGUGAAAGAUCUUGAAUGGUCUACCGGAGAGCGUGUGAGUCGUGUAGCUGGUUGUCUUGUUGUCUGCAUUGGUUGUGUCCCGAGUAGCACGGGGCUCGUGGAAUCUUGUGUGAAUCUGCCCAGACCACUGGGUAAGCCUGAAUACUUUCUGGUGACCGAUAGUGCAUAGUACCGUGAGGGAAUGGUGAAAAGUACCCCGGGAGGGGAGUGAAAUAGUACCUGAAACCGGGUGCCUACAAGCCGUUAGAGCCCUUUUUGUGGGGUGAUAGCGUGCCUUUUGAAGAAUGAGCCUGCGAGUUAGUGGUGCGUGGCGAGGUUAACCCGUUGUGGGGUAGCCGUAGCGAAAGCGAGUCUGAAUAGGGCGUUUUUUAGUCGCGUGCUCUAGACCCGAAGCGGGGUGAUCUACCCAUGGCCAGGUUGAAGCGAUGGUAAGACGUCGUGGAGGACCGAACCCACCUAGGUUGAAAACUGGGGGGAUGAGCUGUGGGUAGGGGUGAAAGGCCAAUCAAACUCCGUGAUAGCUGGUUCUCCCCGAAAUGCAUUUAGGUGCAGCGUUACAUGUUGCUUGUUGGAGGUAGAGCGACUGGUUGGUUAAUGGGCCUUCACGGGUUACUGAGAUCUGCCAAACUCCGAAUGCCAGCAAGUUUAGUGUGGCAGUGAGACUGCGGGGGAUAAGCUUCGUAGUCGAGAGGGAAACAGCCCAGACCAUCGGUUAAGGCCCCUAAGCGUGUGCUAAGUGGGAAAGGAUGUGGAGUUGCUGUGACAACCAGGAGGUUGGCUUAGAAGCAGCCAUCCUUGAAAGAGUGCGUAAUAGCUCACUGGUCAAGUGAUUCCGCGCCGACAAUGUAGCGGGGCUCAAGUACACCGCCGAAACCGUGGCGCGACAAGUUUUUGUUGUGGGUAGGGGAGCGUCCCAUUCUGGGUGAAGUCAUCGUGUGAACGGUGGUGGACGGGAUGGGAGUGAGAAUGCAGGCAUGAGUAGCGAAUGACGGGAGAGUAACCCGUCCGCUGAUUGACUAAGGGUUCCAGGGUGAAGCUAAUCUGCCCUGGGUUAGUCGGGACCUAAGGCGAGGCCGACAGGCGUAGUCGAUGGAUAACCAGUUUAUAUUCUGGUACCGGCGCAUAGCCGUCCGUGCUGAAUCGAAUGUACUAACCUCCAGGUUUCUCAUUUUUACUUUCCUUUUGGGAUUGUUUUGAUGGGUUCUUGUUGGGAUCUUGUUUGGUAGUAGGCAAGCGUGUUAACAGGGGUGACGCACAGUGGUAGCUUUCGCGUACAGAUGGUUUUGUGCGUUUAAGGCCGCAGCCUGUUUCCUAGGUUAAAUCCGGGAGACAUGUAAGGUGAGGGCUGAUGAUGACACCGUUUUGGUGGAAGUAAGUGAUCCUGUGGUGCCUAGAAAAGCCUCGACGCGAGGAUAUGUGCCGCCCGUACCCUAAACCGACACAGGUAGUCAGGUAGAGUAUACCGAGGCGAUCGAGUUAAUCAUGGUUAAGGAACUCGGCAAAAUGCCCCCGUAACUUCGGGAUAAGGGGGACCAUCCUGGUGAUAAACCCAUCGCGGUUUUGAGCUGGUGGUGGUCGCAGAGAAUUGAGAGAAGCGACUGUUUACUAAAAACACAGGUGCGUGCGAAGAUGUAAGUCGAUGUAUACGCACUGACGCCUGCCCGGUGCUGGAAGGUUAAGAGGAACGGUUAAUGCCCUUUGGGUGUGAAGCUGUGAAUUUAAGCCCCAGUAAACGGCGGUGGUAACUAUAACCAUCCUAAGGUAGCGAAAUUCCUUGUCGGGUAAGUUCCGACCUGCACGAAUGGCGUAACGACUUCUCUGCUGUCUCGACCAUGAGCUCGGCGAAAUUGCAUUACGAGUAAAGAUGCUCGUUACGCGCAGCAGGACGGAAAGACCCCGGGACCUUUACUAUAGCUUGGUAUUGGUGCUCGCUUAGGCUUGUGUAGGAUAGGUGGGAGACUUUGAAGCGGUCACGCUAGUGAUUGUGGAGUCGUUGUUGAAAUACCACUCUGGUCUAAGUGCGUUCCUAACCUUUGGUCCGUGAUCCGGGCCAGGGACAGUGCCUGGUGGGUAGUUUAACUGGGGCGGUUGCCUCCUAAAAAGUAACGGAGGCGCUCAAAGGUUCCCUCAGCCUGGUUGGUAAUCAGGUGUCGAGUGUAAGUGCACAAGGGAGCUUGACUGCGAGACUGACAGGUCGAGCAGGUGCGAAAGCAGGAACUAGUGAUCCGGCAAUGGCUUGUGGAAGCGUUGUCGCUCAACGGAUAAAAGGUACCCCGGGGAUAACAGGCUGAUCUUGCCCAAGAGUCCAUAUCGACGGCAUGGUUUGGCACCUCGAUGUCGGCUCGUCGCAUCCUGGGGCUGGAGUAGGUCCCAAGGGUUGGGCUGUUCGCCCAUUAAAGCGGUACGCGAGCUGGGUUUAGAACGUCGUGAGACAGUUCGGUCCCUAUCCGCUGCGCGCGUGUGAAACUUGAAAAGGCCUGUCCCUAGUACGAGAGGACCGGGACGGACGAACCUCUGGUGUGCCAGUUGUACUGCCAAGUGCAUGGCUGGUUAGCUACGUUCGGGAAGGAUAACCGCUGAAAGCAUCUAAGCGGGAAGCCUGCUUUAAGAUGAGGUUUCUGUUGAGGCUCCCGAUAGACUAUCGGGUUGAUAGGCCGGACGUGGAAGCAUGGUAACAUGUGGAGCUGACCGGUACUAAUAUUGCCGACAACUAACACCA